rnacentral:sRNA from 1 species
UAAUACAACCUGGACGGUGCGACUGAUG